CAUGGCGCCGAGCGCCGGGUGAGCGGCGCUUUGGCGGUGGUGAGAGGCUCUUCCUGCGCUGGGCGCUCGACUGGCGGGGGCGGGUCUGAGUGGUACCCGGGACUAGACCCUUUGAAGGGCCCGUGUGGGGACCUGGAGGAGGACGGUUGGUUGUGUGUCCGUGCGCGUGGGGACUCUGUGUGUUUGCAUUGGAGGGAUGUUGGGGGGAUGAGGUGGGCUCUCUACGCCUUCUUUCUCGCUGUACCCAUUGCCUGGGGACCUUAGACCCGCUUCCCUGCUGGGGAAACUGCUACACGGAUCUAGGUCAAGUUAUUCUUCUGGGAAGCCUUCCUGCCGACUCCACUGACCUGAGAUUUCCUGAGGCCGUGGCGUGUUAUUUGAGCCUGUACUGGCAGAGGGUACCGCGGGGUAUUGAAGGAGUAGUAGGAGUUCGCCAGGGAACUGGGACAUGACCGCCUCCUGUAUACCCGGCUCCAGGCACAGAGGUCUCCAUCUCCCCGCCCUGGGGCAUCUUCCUUCAGGGGAGGGGAGGAGGGGCUCCAGAAUGGCUGAGGAGAAGAAGCUGAAGCUGAGCAACACCGUGCUGCCCUCGGAGUCCAUGAAGGUGGUGGCCGAGUCCAUGGGCAUCGCUCAGAUUCAGGAGGAGACCUGCCAGCUGCUGACAGAUGAGGUCAGCUACCGCAUCAAGGAGAUUGCACAGGAUGCCUUGAAGUUCAUGCACAUGGGGAAGCGGCAGAAGCUCACCACCAGUGACAUUGACUACGCACUGAAGCUAAAGAACGUCGAGCCACUGUAUGGCUUCCACGCUCAGGAGUUCAUUCCUUUCCGUUUCGCCUCUGGUGGCGGCCGGGAGCUUUACUUCUACGAGGAGAAGGAGGUUGAUCUGAGCGACAUCAUCAAUACCCCUCUGCCCCGAGUGCCCCUGGAUGUCUGCCUCAAAGCUCACUGGCUGAGCAUUGAAGGCUGCCAGCCAGCUAUUCCAGAGAACCCACCCCCAGCUCCCAAAGAGCAGCAGAAGGCUGAGGCCACAGAACCCCUGAAGUCAGCCAAGCCGGGCCAGGAGGAAGACGGCCCCUUGAAAGGCAAAGGUCAGGGGGCCACUCCAGCUGACGGCAAAGGGAAAGAGAAGAAGGCGCCACCCCUGCUGGAGGGGGCGCCUCUGCGACUGAAGCCCCGAAGCAUCCACGAGUUGUCUGUGGAGCAGCAGCUGUACUACAAGGAGAUCACAGAAGCCUGUGUGGGCUCAUGUGAGGCCAAGAGAGCGGAGGCUCUGCAGAGCAUCGCCACGGAUCCGGGGCUCUACCAGAUGCUGCCGCGCUUCAGCACCUUCAUCUCAGAGGGGGUGCGCGUGAACGUGGUGCAGAACAACCUGGCCCUGCUCAUCUACCUGAUGCGCAUGGUGAAGGCGCUGAUGGACAACCCUACUCUGUAUCUAGAGAAAUACGUGCAUGAGUUGAUCCCGGCUGUGAUGACCUGCAUCGUGAGCAGACAGCUGUGCCUGCGGCCAGAUGUGGACAAUCACUGGGCGCUCCGGGACUUCGCCGCCCGCCUGGUGGCCCAGAUCUGCAAGCAUUUCAGCACAACCACUAACAACAUCCAGUCCCGGAUCACCAAGACCUUCACCAAAAGCUGGGUGGAUGAGAAGACCCCGUGGACAACGCGCUACGGCUCCAUCGCAGGCCUGGCAGAGCUGGGACAUGAUGUGAUUAAGACUCUGAUUCUGCCGCGGCUACAGCAGGAGGGGGAGCGGAUCCGCGGGGUCCUGGAUGGCCCUGUGCUGAGCAACAUCGACCGCAUAGGGGCUGACCACGUGCAGAGCCUCCUCCUGAAACACUGUGCCCCUGUUCUGGCAAAGCUGCGCCCACCGCCUGACAAUCAGGAUGCCUAUCGGGCAGAAUUUGGGUCCCUCGGGCCCCUCCUCUGCUCCCACGUUGUCAAGGCCCGGGCCCAGGCUGCUCUGCAGGCUCAGCAGGUCAACAGGACCACUCUGACCAUCACUCAGCCCCGGCCCACACUGACCCUCUCCCAGGCCCCCCAGCCUGGCCCUCGGACCCCUGGCUUGCUGAAGGUCCCUGGCUCCAUUGCGCUGCCUGUCCAGACACUGGUGUCUGCUCGAGCUGCUGCCCCGCCUCAGCCUUCCCCUCCCCCAACCAAGUUCAUUGUCAUGUCAUCAUCCUCCAGCGCCUCAUCCACCCAACAGUGCUGUCCUGUUGUCCGGAGAAGCUGGUAAACCCACCCGUGGGCCCACGGUGCAUACACGCUCACCUGACCACCCCCCGUGGCAGGGGAAGGUGCAGCCUGACGUUGAGAGCCUGGCUGCAAGGAAAAAAGGACCAGAGUCAGCCCCAGGAAGGUCGUGACGUGUCCCAUCUUCAUUACUGUCAUGACUGGAGUUCUGCACAAGUGCUACUCCACCCCCUUCCCAAAUUCUAGUGCCUCUAAGCUGGAUUCUGAGGCUGGUUGGCCACACCUGAAGGUGGAAACAGCAGGUGGAAUAUGCUAGGCCAGCCCGAUCCUGACCUCACCCUGAGGUGGCUGCAGGCGGAGGAUUCGAUGAGAUUCAAACUCAUCCAGAUGCACCGAGCUGUGAAAUGAGACCUCAUCCACCCGAAUUCCUGGCCCAUAACCUGGAAAGAGAGAAAGACCCCUCUUCUAACCCAUAUUUUGGGAGGGGGUGGGAAGCUGUCUCUAGCUUCCCUCCAUGAAAACUUUGACAGUGACCUCGACCUAGGAGAGAAAGACCCACUUUCUCACCUCUCAGUUCUGACUUCCCCACACAAAACUCUUCCGUCAAGCCGAUGCGCAUCUCUGUCAGAGGAAAGAACAGAAGCAGCAGCCAAAUACCCCAUACAUGCCACCAAGGAGCCUGUCCCAAACCCCACCCUGGUCCAGCCUGCAGGCUGCUCACCAGAGCCGCUGGGCAGAAAGCUCUUGAGUCGUAUCUCUCCCUGCACGUCCACCUUCAGCAGCGAGCCCUGAGAGUGACAGGAGGUCAAUGCCCAGACGUGACCUCCCCGACACACUUCCCAAAGGUCGCCUGUCCUCAGCCGCAGGGCUGGGGGCCCAAACUUACGUUAGAGGCUAUCAGGACGGACAAUCUCUCGACCACAUCCAGAAACACUUCAUUCUUUUGGCUCUAAGGAAAGAGGGAUUUGGGGGUUGAUCAGCCUGUGUUCUAACGCGGACAGGCAGAAAGGACAGGACGGUGGAGGCUAGAGCCCUGGGUUGGGGACGCGGGUAAGGAAAGGGAUCAUCCACGUCUAGAGAAGGUGGAAAGAUAUGCUGGGAUCUUGGACUCUGGGGGCUGAGAGAAAAAUCAGAGGAUCUGAACCCAUCAAUCCCUCCCUCACCUGGUCAGAGCGGCUGGACAGCACCGGGCGGCUGGCUGCACUGCUGGGGGCCACUUUGCUCUGUUGUGUCUCAGCCCCAAACUGGAAAUCAUCCAAAGCAAUCAAUCCUCACGUAUGACACUUCCCACUAACCCUCCUCAAUCCUGGCCUCAUCUGUCCCUGGACUGACCAGGCCAACGCUGCUGAGGUCAAAGAGGCUGAAGGGUUUGCUGACCACAGCCUCCGUCUGGAUGAAGUUCCUCAGCAUCUCCGUGGAUGUAGUCUGUACAUAGCCAUAGUCCUAUAGGUAAAGGAAGGGCAGUCUUUGGGUGGUCGGGGGGGAAGGGGUGAAAAUGAAUGGACUCAGCCUCCCAACCAUGGGAUGCAUCUUCAGGGAACGGGGGACAGGGAGGGACAUCCCUGGACCUCACCAGCACUUCAUCCAGAAGUUCGUAGACCAGAGCCACGUUGCGGGAGAUGGUCCCCUCACCCAGGGAGCCACAGUAAUCACCCAGGAGCGUGGCUAGCCUGCAGAACAGGACGGAGUGUGCAUACCCUCCUCCUCUCUGACCCCCACGCCCGUGUGCCCAGCCCCGCCCUCCUCACCGGGAGAGCAGCUCUAGGAGGCUGAAGGGAGAAAUGUUUUCUGAAGUCGUGGCCACCAAAUAGAGGCCGCUGUGUCUGAUGUGAAUAAAAUGACGGUCAUCGUGGUGCUGAGGCAGAGGCAGGGGGAAAAAGCAUUAGCAAGAAAGAGUUGUGGUGAUUCCUGGCCCAUGAGACCUGGGCUGGUAUCCUGAUUCCCCUACUUACUAGCAGCGUGACUUGUGCCACAUACGACACCUCCCCAGGGCCCAGCUUCCUAAUGUGUAAAUGGAGUUAAUAAUAGUACCUACUCCAGAGUGGCUGAGGAUUGAGACGUGCGGGGAGCUGUGCCUGGUGCAUUGUGAGCGCUCAAUAGACUUCUAUUAAUAUUA